GGUCUGGUGGUGUAGUUGGUUAUCACGUCAGUCUAACAACGUCGGGCCGUCCCCGGAUGGCCUCGUCGCUGAGUUUCACUGAAGGUCUCCGGUUCAAGUCCGGGCUGGAUCA
rnacentral:tRNA from 2 species